UGAGUUGAGGCUUGAAUUUGGCCAAAUUUGGAACUAGAAAGACCUUGGAAUCACACAGUAAAUCAAUAAUGCAAAUGGACAGAUGCCAUCAUAGCACUCUGCUAUAUCCCGAACAUGAUUUUGUACAUCUGCUAUAUGCUAUAUUCCGAACGCUUAUCCACCUACUGCCUAUUACUAUGGAGGUAAAACUUAUGGCUAAACUCUUUUUGCUUGAGAUUAGUUUAUUGGUGGAUUAUUAGAUUCUCUUGAAAUUCAUGUGUAAUUUUUUAAAAUGAAAUUGACGUGUGUUCAUGAGAAUUUGUAUGAGUUUCGGCAUGAUGUGCGGUUUGAAUUAUUUCUUUCUACUUCCAUUCAGGACUUUUAAAAUGAAGCUUCUCCUGAUGG